rnacentral:rRNA from 1 species
UACAGAGGGUGCGAGCGUUAAUCGGAAUUACUGGGCGUAAAGCGCGUGUAGGCGGUCCGGUAAGUCAGCUGUGAAAGUCAAGGGCUCAACCCUUGAAUGCCGGUUGAUACUGUCGGGCUAGAGUCCGGAAGAGGCGAGUGGAAUUCCCGGUGUAGCGGUGAAAUGCGCAGAUAUCGGGAGGAAUACCAGUGGCGAAGGCGGCUGCCUGGCCUGUUCUUGACGCUGAGGCGCGAAAGCUGGGGGGAGCAAACGGG